GCUACUGGUAGUUGCUGUAGCUGGAGUAGAACGAACUGCCCUCGGAUGCCGACCAGCUACUUCGAAUCCUUCUUCCGCUAAAAAUCAAAUUUCUUUAAAAAUCUUAGUUAAUUUACCCAAUGAUGCUGGCAGUGGAUGCAGUGACUCUUCCAUUGGCCAUAGGAGAACAGGUAUAAAACGCUGGGAACCACCAACAUCGUCAUUAUUUGUAGGUUAUUUCCACAUCAAUCACAGCGUGUAAAGGAAACAACGCCAACACUACAAAAAAAAACAUUAGAAAAGAGAAGAUUGAGUUGAAAACCGAGUAAAACCUCUACCCAACCAUCAUAUGUGUCAAGUCCACCUUCCUGCCUUGUAAGUUGACGCAGGCUGCUUCCCGGAAAGUUGAUGGUUUCAAGUAACAGUGGCCGUGUCACUCCCUUUUCCACUGAAUAAGAAUAGAAGAGAGGGCAUCUACAUUUUCAUUGAGCGUGAAACCGUAACCGUGGACGUUAGCAAACAUAACAUUUGAUAGCGCUGCUGCUGGAAUCAGAUCCGUUUUGGAUUUGACAGCAGAUAGACGCAGAACCUAUUUUGAAGACUUAAAAAUGGCUUUUUUACGGGGAUAUCCGACAGAAGUGAAGGUUUCCUUAUCCAAGCAAUUAAUUUGUACUGCUGCGGUCAUUCAAGCGAUUCCAUUCAACAUUCCACAUCGCAUUAUUCUCUUAUCUUAAAUAGAAAAAAAAAAUUAUUGCCAUCAUUGCUGCAUUCAAAAGACUACCAUCGUGUCAUUUUAACGUUAAUUAGGCAUGCCAAUAAAAGCAUUGUUUUUA
rnacentral:misc_RNA from 1 species